UACCAGAGUACUAUGAAUGAUAUAGAAUUUAAAACUCAAAGAACUUGGCGGUGUUUUAGACCAUUUAGGGGAACCUGUCUCGUAAUCGACAGUCCACGUUACACCUGACCUUUUUUUGUUUUCAGUUUGUAUACCGUUGUCGUCAGGUAACUUUUUAGAAAGUAGAAGUUGGCUAUAUAAAUAUAAUGGUUUAGUACGUCAAAUCAAGGUGCAGCUAAUAAAAGGGGGAGGAUGGGUUACAAUUAUAGAAUCAUAAUGACGGAUAUUUAUAUGAAAGUGUAAAUUAUGAAGGCGGACUUAAAAGUAAAUUGGAUUAUGCAAACAAAUUUGAAUGCGGCUCUGAAACGUGU
rnacentral:rRNA from 1 species